GCAAGGGGUGGGGGUGCCAGAGGACAGGAGGAAAGCGGGAUCUGCGAGCAGGUGGCUGCUGCUGCAGGGGAGCAGAGGGGAGCUCUGCGCUCUGCCCGGCAGCGUGGGACUAGCAGGGACAUGGGGGGUGCCCAGCCACCCUGUGGGGACCAGCCAGGCCACGGGGGACUGGCAUAGCUCCCUGGGCUCUUAGGCAUGGCUGAGCAGCCACUGCCUGCUGUGUUUGCUCCUUGCAGAGCCACAGCGUGCUCUGCUUGUCCUCAGUGUGCAGCAGGAGAGCUCUGGGGUGGGGGGCUCUGGGGGGACGGAGGGGCCUGGUGGCCACUGGCUGCUGUUCUGGACCACCGUGGGGCUGUAACCCCAUCUCUGCUUGCUGCUGUGGCCAUGCCCUUCUCCCCGGUGACCGCUUGCUCUGAGUCACCAGGAAAUCUGAUAAGGCUCCAGUAAAACCGCUGGAGCAGUGGGGGGGGGGGGGGGUGUCACUUGGCACUGCGGCCAGGCUCAGCCACCCUGAUUUCUUGGCUCGUCUCCAGCAUCCUGACUGCCACAUGUGUGUGACCAGAGCAACCCAAAGCUGGGUUUGCCAAACCUAAACUUUAGGCACCAAGGGGCCUUUUGGUAAAGAUGCAGCCCCUAAUUCUGGGGAGAACUGCAUGUGGGGAAGGCAUGGGCCCUUUCCAUGACAUGUGGCAGCUGAGCCUCGAGCUUUGAAGGUGACGUUUGCUGGUUUGCAUCAGUUACAUUCUUGAUUUAAGCCUCCCAAAGCGUUAGCGGUUAGAAGGCAGGAGGGGAGCCUGUGGCAGCUUACGGGAUGGAAAAUCAUCCCCAGACGUGACCCAUCAAUUAAAGCAGAUGAUCAGCCCCAGCAGGAACCUGCUAGGUGUGUCAAUUCCUCUUUUCCGUUUGGCUGUGUGCUGGGUAGUCAAAUUUAUCUGUUUUAGCAAUUAAGCAAGAAACCCUGAGCGUUUCUCAUUCUGAAGGGCUUAGUCAUAUCUGGGUGAGAAGCCUGGGCCGGUGAUGCAGCUGGUGAUGUUUGGGUUGAGGCAGGACUGUGCUUUGGCAGCGGGAGACUCCUCGAGGCAAAAACACGGGCCGCUUGGCUUUCAGAAACAGUUCCUAGAAGCUAGAACAGGUACAAUGUUCCUGUGAAAUAACUGGGUCGUGUUUUGCUCCCUCCUCGUGCCUGGAUCAGCCGGAGCUGUGGUGGAGGGCAUUGGCCAGGGGGGAUGCAGCAUCCUGGGGAGGCCUCAUGGCUCUGGCAGCAGGAUCCUGCUUGUCUUGGUUGGACAAGGGCCUGUCAGCCUGUUGAGCUCUGCAAAGGAUUUUGGUUGGUGCAGAUUCUUGGCCAAGAGGAAAUCUCCUUGCUCCAGCCUGACCAUUUUAACCUGCAAACAAAUCCUAGUCCAGCUCCAGGUGUUUGCAGGACAAGCCACUUACAGAGAGCUGUGCUGCUGGGAGAACACCUUGUUUGCAUUCCCCAGCUUUCAAGACUGCAUCAUGAAGCUCCAGGUCUGACAGUCGGAACCAGCAAGUCCUCCUUGGCUCCAGCUCUGGCAUUCCUGUCACCAGCUUGAGAAAAAAUCAAGCUCCCAUGCCCCAAUUUUCUCUCCACCAGCGAGGAAAACUUCCAUGUCAAGGACAUCUGAAGCCUGCCUGAUUUUCUGCAUGGAGCUUUGGGUCCCCAUGGAGAUGGCAUCUGAGAAAAGAAGAUAAAACCCUUUUGUGAGGAUGGAUCCCGAUUAUUAUUUGUUUAAUUAGAGUCUGGACUGAUGCAGAGGCAACAAUUAACAAUUACCUUCUGUAAAGGACUUUGACAACAGCUGAAUAGGUUAAUGACUUGCAA